rnacentral:rRNA from 1 species
AACGAACGCUGGCGGCAUGCCUAACACAUGCAAGUCGAACGAGACCUUCGGGUCUAGUGGCGCACGGGUGCGUAACGCGUGGGAACCUGCCCUUAGGUUCGGAAUAACUCCCCGAAAGGGGUGCUAAUACCGGAUAAUGUCUUCGGACCAAAGAUUUAUCGCCUUUGGAUGGGCCCGCGUUGGAUUAGCUAGUUGGUAGGGUAAAAGCCUACCAAGGCGACGAUCCAUAGCUGGUCUGAGAGGAUGAUCAGCCACACUGGGACUGAGACACGGCCCAGACUCCUACGGGAGGCAGCAGUGGGGAAUAUUGGACAAGGGGCGAAAGCCUGAGCCAGCAAUGCCGCGUGAGUGAUGAAGGCCUUAGGGUUGUAAAGCUCUUUUACCCGGGAUGAUAAUGACAGUACCGGGAGAAUAAGCUCCGGCUAACUCCGU